rnacentral:tRNA from 1 species
GCUGGGAAAACUCAGCCAGUAGAGCAUGAGACUCUUAAUCUCAGGGUCAGGGGUUUGAGCCCCAUGUUAGCC